UCGCGCGACAGCCACGGUGCCCGUGGAAAGGGAUCGUUCGGCAAUUGACAUAGUCGCGAUUUUUCCCUCAAGUGCCUCGCGUUAAUCUCCCUGCUCCUCUUCCACGCGAGCACCGUGCGCUCGGCCGUUUCGGAGUGACCCGUACAGUGAGCCGCGUGCGUUCUCCAACACUGCGGAGUGACCGGCGUUGCGUCGCGUCGUACGACGAUCGCGAGAAAAAGAGAGAGAGAGAGAGAGAGAGAGAGAAAAGGAGUGCAAUCUCCGACACUCCGCGUGUCGCCGCCGCAAUUAUACCGCGUCCGCGAAGAGACCGAUGGCACACGGCGAGCCGGAGCCCGUCGUCGUCGUGGUUGCUUGGCCAGCGUGCGGCCCUCGCGCGCGGAUAGUCGGGAUGCGGAGGGGCUGCUCGUGACUGUCCGCGCGAGUGUGCCAGUCGACGCCCCGCGAACGGACCCACGGAGUAUCGGAGUGCCGGUGCAAGACGGCAUCGACGUCGCUUUCGUCUUCACCUGCUACAUACUUGGCAGACACCGUCGUGCACACGUCGUCGUUAUUUGGCGGCGCCGCGACGAGAGGGAAAAAGAGUAGUAUCGACGUUUUCUCGUGCCGGCGCCGCGGUGCCACCCCUUGCGCGCGGAGGAACCGCAGCGGCCGGCCCGCACGGGCCGCACGAGUCAGUGAAAGUGAGUGAUGCGAACGCGUCCGCCGACGUGGAGGAGGGGGAGGAGCGAGUGCGACGACGACGGGACGAGCAAGUGUCACCGCGACUUCUACUUCUUCUUCGGGGUUGUUUUUUUCUCUUUGUGAUAUCUCGACGCGCGUCCUCGGGAGAUUGCUGCGACAUUACGGAAUUAUUCAGUCUGAUGAACGACGCAGUGAUAAAAAACGAGAAGGGAAAUUCGACGAAGCCAUGUCACGUCGUUGGGUGCUGGCGCGAUUUCCGACGACAGCAACGACGGUUACACGGACAACGGCUACGGGAAGCGCGCCAACGACCGCGAUAACGGCAAACGAAGCGAACGCAACGACGUUAACGACCACGACGAGUACUAGACUCGGCGUGCUGCGACUUCGGGGUGACUAGAGUGAACCGCCAACGGUGCGAUCAUUAAGACAACGACAACAACGACUGCUACGUCGAUUGAGGGGGGUGAGUGAUAGUACGCGAUAAAUCGUGUCACGUUGUAACGUCGUUGGGGUGGCGUGGAGAAGACGAAGAAGAAAGGGAAAAAAAGAAAGAAGAAGAAAAAGUGGAACAAGACGAUAG